rnacentral:rRNA from 1 species
CCUACGGGGGGCAGCAGUGAGGAAUAUUGGUCAAUGGACGAGAGUCUGAACCAGCCAAAUCGCGUGAAGGAAGACUGCCCUACGGGUUGUAAACUUCUUUUGUACAGGAAUAAAAGACAUUACGUGUAAUGUAUUGCAUGUACUGUACGAAUAAGCAUCGGCUAACUCCGUGCCAGCAGCCGCGGUAAUACGGAGGAUGCGAGCGUUAUCCGGAUUUAUUGGGUUUAAAGGGUGCGCAGGCGGGAUUUUAAGUCAGCGGUGAAAUUUUCAGGCUCAACCUGAACACUGCCGUUGAAACUGGGAUUCUUGAGUAUGGAUGAAGUAGGCGGAAUUCGUUGUGUAGCGGUGACAUGCUUAGAUAUAACGAGGAACUCCGAUUGCGUAGGCAGCUUACUAAGCCAUAACUGACGCUCAAGCACGAAAGCGUGGGGAUCAAACAGGAUUAGAUACCCUGGUAGUCCACGCCGUAAACGAUGAUUACUAGUUGUUUGCGAUAUACCGUAAGUGACUAAGCGAAAGCGAUAAGUAAUCCACCUGGGGAGUACGCCGGCAACGGUGAAACUCAAAGGAAUUGACGGGGGCCCGCACAAGCGGAGGAACAUGUGGUUUAAUUCGAUGAUACGCGAGGAACCUUACCCGGGCUUGAAAUGUACCUGACCGUCCUUGAAAAGGGACUUCUAGCAAUAGCAGGUAUGUAGGUGCUGCAUGGUUGUCGUCAGCUCGUGCCGUGAGGUGUCGGCUUAAGUGCCAUAACGAGCGCAACCCACAUUAUUAGUUACUAACAGGUUAAGCUGAGGACU